GACAGAGGGUGCAAACGUUGUUCGGAAUUACUGGGCGUAAAGGGCGCGUAGGCGGCCUGCUAAGUCGAACGUGAAAUCCCUGGGCUCAACCCAGGAACUGCGUCCGAUACUGGUUGGCUUGAAUCCGGGAGAGGGAUGUGGAAUUCCAGGUGUAGCGGUGAAAUGCGUAGAUAUCUGGAGGAACACCGGUGGCGAAGGCGACAUCCUGGACCGGUAUUGACGCUGAGGCGCGAAAGCCAGGGGAGCAAACGGG
rnacentral:rRNA from 1 species